rnacentral:rRNA from 1 species
CGCUGGCGGCAUGCCUAGACAUGCAAGUCGAACGGAGUUUCACUCCUGCGGCGGACUUCAGUCCAAAGCUUUGUGAAACUUAGUGGCGAACGGGUGAGUAACAGGUAGACAACUUGCCUCAACGACUGGGAUAACACUGGGAAACUGGUGCUAAUACCGGAUAGGAUAUAGAUUCGCAUGAAUUUAUAUUUAAAGAUGGGUUAAACCAUCACGAUGAGAGAGGUCUGCUUCGUAUUAGCUAGUUGGUAGGGUAAUGGCCUACCAAGGCAAUGAUGCGUAGCCGAGCUGAGAGGCUGAUCGGCCACACUGGAACUGAGACACGGUCCAGACUCCUACGGGAGGCAGCAGUUAGGGAUAUUCGGCAACGGACGAAAGUCUGACCGAGCAAUGCCGCGUGAAUGAAGAAGUAUUUCGAUAUGUAAAGUUCUGUUGUAAGGGAAGAAUGGUUGUGAUAGGAAAUGAUCACAAUUUGACGGUACCUUACCAGAAAGCCCCGGCUAACUACGUGCCAGCAGCCGCGGUAAUACGUAGGGGGCGAGCGUUAUCCGGAAUUAUUGGGCGUAAAGGGUGCGUAGGCGGCCUUAUAAGUCUGAGUUGAAAGCCCACGGCUUAACCGUGGAGGGUGCUCGGAAACUGUAAGGCUUGAAUCCAGAAGAGGCAAGUAGAAUUCUAUGUGGAGCGGUGGAAUGCGUAGAUAUAUGGAGGAAUACCAGUGGCGAANGCGGCUUGCUGGUCUGGGAUUGACGCUGANGCACGAAAGCGUGGGGAGCAAACAGGAUUAGAUACCCUGGUAGCCCACGCCGUAACGAUGAGUACUAG